GACGAACGCUGGCGGCGUGCUUAACACAUGCAAGUCGAACGGUAACAGGCCCGCAAGGGUGCUGACGAGUGGCGGACGGGUGAGGAAUACAUCGGAAUCUGCCCGGUCGUGGGGGAUAACGUAGGGAAACUUACGCUAAUACCGCAUGAGACCGAGAGGUGAAAGCGGGGGAUCGCAAGACCUCGCGCGACUGGAUGAGCCGAUGUCGGAUUAGCUAGUUGGGGAGGA
rnacentral:rRNA from 1 species